rnacentral:rRNA from 1 species
AGAUUGAACGCUGGCGGCAUGCCUAACACAUGCAAGUCGAACGGGAGUAGCAAUACUCUAGUGGCGGACGGGUGAGGAAUACGUAGGAAUUUGCCCUUAAGUGGGGGAUAACCCGGGGAAACCCGGAUUAAUACCGCAUGACCUCGAAAGAGCAAAGUGGGGGAUCGCAAGACCUCACGCUUUUGGAGAAGCCUACGUCGGAUUAGCUAGUUGGUGAGGUAAUGGCUCACCAAGGCGACGAUCCGUAACUGGUCUGAGAGGAUGAUCAGUCACACCGGAACUGAGACACGGUCCGGACUCCUACGGGAGCAGCAGUGGGGAAUAUUGGACAAUGGG